UGUGAGGUAGAUGUUUCUCUAGGGCCUGUGAGGUAGGGGCUCCUCUAGGUCCUGUGAGGUAGGGGCUCCUCUAGAACUUGAGAGGUAUGGACUCCUCUAGGACUUGUGAGGUAGGGGCUCCUCUAGGGCCUGUGAGGUAGAUGCUUCUCUAGGGCCUGUGAAGUAGGGGCUCCUCUAGGGCCUGUGAGGUAGAUGCUUCUCUAAGGCCUGUGAGGUAAGGGCUCCUCUAGGGCCUGUGAGAUAGAUGCUCCUUUAGGGCCUGUAAGGUAGAGGCUCCUCUAGGGCCU